AGAAUUUGAACCAAAUAGAAAGGGAGUCUAGCUGAUAAUUAGAUUGUUGAAGGUUAAAGUCCUUCCAAGUUUUA
rnacentral:tRNA from 1 species